rnacentral:lncRNA from 1 species
GUUCUCGGGAACAGCGGCUCGGCCUGCAAGGCUGUUGUUUCAAGAAAUGAAAAUGAAGGGCGCCCUGGAAUAGGUUCGCCGAAGAGAGAGCUUGCAGGCCUCUGGGAAGCAAGCCAUCGUGUGGCAGAGGCCCAGGUGGCAAGGAACCAAGGGCGGCUUCUGGCCAACAGCCAGCGAGGACCUGAGACCGUAGCCCAACACCCCUCCAGGAACUGAAUUUUGCCAGCAACCAGUGAGUGACCUUGGAAGUGGAUCCUUCCCCCGAAAGCCCGGCUUUCAGACGGAGGCUGGUGGGACCUCAACCCCAGCUGGUAUCCAGGCUCUUGACACCAUCUGGAGAAGGAAUUCAAGAGUGUGUCAGAAAAUGAUGAAAGUACAAAGAUUUAUUGCAAAGCGAAAAAUACACACUCAAGAAAGGGGAGUAUGGGUGGACUCAAGACAGAGUCCGAUGGGACUUGGGGUUUCUACCUUUUGGGUUUCUUUUUUUUUUUUUUUUGAUAUGGAGUCUCGCACUGUUGCCCAGGCUGGAGCGCAGUGGCGU